AUUGAACGCUGGCGGCAUGCUUUACGCAUGCAAGUCGAACGGCAGCGCGGGCUUCGGCCUGGCGGCGAGUGGCGAACGGGUGAGUAAUGCAUCGGAACGUGCCCAGUCGUGGGGGAUAGCCCGGCGAAAGCCGGAUUAAUACCGCAUACGACCUGAGGGUGAAAGCGGGGGACCGAAAGGCCUCGCGCUAUUGGAUCGGCCGAUGUCGGAUUAGCUAGUUGGUGGGGUAAAGGCUUACCAAGGCGACGAUCCGUAGCUGGUCUGAGAGGACGACCAGCCACACUGGGACUGAGACACGGCCCAGACUCCUACGGGAGGCAGCAGUGGGGAAUUUUGGACAAUGGGGGCAACCCUGAUCCAGCCAUGCCGCGUGCGGGAAGAAGGCCUUCGGGUUGUAAACCGCUUUUGUUCGGGAAGAAAUCCUCUGGGCUAAUACCCCGGGGGGAUGACGGUACCGGAAGAAUAAGCACCGGCUAACUACGUG
rnacentral:rRNA from 1 species